AAAAUUCCCUCCAAAACUCCGCGUCACUCGUCACUCGUCGCUCGCCAUCUUCCCCAAAAAUUUCGAACGCCAAACCCUAACUCUCAUUCUCAAUCCCAAUUCGCAAGUCUCGUCACCAUGGACGUCGGCGGAAGCGGGGGUGGCAGCGGCAUCAUCUUGUCGCCGGGGACGGAGGACGACAAGUUUGCGCGGAGGCGCUCCCGCCGCGUGAGCUUCGCGGACACCACCGCGGUGCACGUGUUCUACCGCGACGAGGACUUCGAGACGCCCCCCGAGGAGCGCGAGCCCGGCUCCGCGUCCCCGUCCCCUGGGAAGUCCUCGGCGGAGCGGGGCGAUGGGGACGACACGGAGGAGUUCCCGGUCAUCUUCCUGCCGGACAUGGAGUCAUCAUCCCCCGGCAGCGCCGCCGGAUCCAUCGCCUCCGCUGAUGAUGAUAACUUCUUUGGACCUGUAUCAACAAGCUUUAUUCAAACAGGAAGACCAUCUGAUUCUGGAAUGUCAGAGGAUGAUAACCAUGAUAUAACUAUGGAUUCCAGGACGUUCUCUAUGCAUUUUCGCAAUAUUGCUCCACCAGAUGACUGUACAGCCAACUCAGCUGCCAGUCUAAUGACACCUAAUACUGAAUCUAAGGGACCCCUGAAGGAACUGACUGUAUCUGAUCCUGGAAAAACAUUGAGUAGUGGUCAGACUGACAUGAGUUUGUUGAAUGUUAACCCCAGAAGUUACAAUUAUGGCAAGCUAUCACCCACACUGAGCAGUAUGAUACAGAAGGUAAAAGUGGGCCAGCAAACAGAGUCUCCUAAAGCUGGCAUUGCUGAUGUAACUCCUGAUUCUGUUUUAACCUUGCCUUCAUCUGAGGAAGAAAAUAGGGAAGAAAACUUAUGCAAUGACAAUGUUAUAUCUUCUGAUGAGCUGGGCACUGUUAAUACUAUCGCGGAGCACAUUUCCAUGAGUAAUCCAGUUUCAAACAGCACAUAUCAAAUUCAAGAAGAUAGUGAAAUGAUAACUGAUGGUCAUGAGAAUUCACAGAACGGAAACCAUGACCCCAUGGUUAUUGACCCUGGUGUUGAUAAUACCGUAGAACCUCCUGCAAAGCUUUCUCCAGCAUGUAAAUCCUUCGUGAAUAACGUUGACAUGCAAUCCCAUCUGUUAGAUCAAUCCUUGUUGAAAGAUCAACCAUCUGGAUCAAAUUGCACUGCAAGUGCUUCCUCUACGUGUAAUGUUGACUCAGAACCCAAUCUGUUGGAUCAAUCACCUGGAACAAAUAACGUUACUGAUGCUUCCCAAUUAUCAAGUGCAGCUCUUGCCAUUUUGCUGAUGGAUGCUGAGCAGCUGCACCAGCAAAAUGAAGUGAUGGAUAGAGAAACCAUUCUACAUACUCCGAGAACUGUAGAUCAGCAAUUGCAAGUUCCACAAGGCUCUAUAUCCUCCCUACGCUUGAAAAGGCAGAAACUCUUCAGUGCUACUCCUCUAUCCAAUGGUAAAGUGGCAAACCAGGAGGCUUAUUCUUUGGUUAGCGAGUUUGCUGAACAUGGCAAUAGAAUUUCUACCCUGAAGAAUGCAUUGAAGACCAGGCUUCAAGAAUCACCUGCAGCUUCCCGGUUACCAUUGGUCGAAAAGAAUGAACUUAGUCAUCAAGAAAAUGACAUGUUCAGAAAUCCUGAAGAUCAUGAUUCCAACUUAUCUGUUUCUUCUAAUUCUGUUCCACGACGACAACUGAAGAAAACUAGUGAGUCUUUUAUCCUAGGCACUCCAACACAGGUGCUAAAUGAAGCCACUAAGGUUCAGGAGACUUCAUGUCGUGUCCUUACUUUGGAUAGCCAACCUAGUCAUGAAUGCAAUCCCCUCCUCGAUUUAGAUGGUGCUGGAAGAAAGAAAACUGUUAAAGAAAAUGGUCAUGCCGUGCAAGAGUGUCCUGAGGAAAUAGCUGAGGCAGCAAGAAGCCCUAGAAAAUCAAGAAAAGAGCUUUCUUGUGUAUCUCAAUCUUCUCCUAGAAUUGAAGGAAAACAGAAUGAUGCUCAUGAUAAAGGGCAGUUAGUUAAUGUUGAUUGGAACAAGAUACUACGUACCAUCUCUGAUGCAACAGAGCAAGUUUUGUUGGCAUCAAUAAGUAAGCUUAAUUUACAACAGCUUGAUGCGCUAAGCGAUAAGCUGGAUGAGGUUCAUAUGGCUAGAAAAUAUAAAAGGCUUUCUACUGCUGUGAGGAUCAAAGAUUGCUGUAGUGCUAAGCAAAAGAGAUUAGAGGAGGCAAGAUCUCUCCAUGAGAAGCUUUUCUAUGCAAAGGCAAAGCUACAAAUAAAUAAUAUGAAGCUAGCUAAACUCCGAAAUAAGGCUCAGCUAUAUCAAGAUGGAAUUCAAGAGUGCUGCAUUCUGAAAUCUAAGAUAUUGGGUGCUGCACAAAUGAAGGAUGCUUGUCUUCCUGCAGCAACUUCUAUCAAUGCCAGUGAUGGACAGGAAGAGCUUGCUAUUUUGACUGAGAAGCGGCUUGAACUCAACAAUAUUCAACAGAAGGUGGAGAACUUAAGGAAUUCCCUUGAAUGUUUUCGCAAUAUUGAAGGUGACGUUAGUUGUGAAAGUGUUAUGAGGCGUGCUGAGGAGCAGUUGAAGAUGAGAAAUCAGUGUCACUUCAUCCACCAGCAAGCAGGGCUCUGCGAGCUGACUGGCAUAGUUAAAAGGGACAAUAAGCGUGAUCUCAUCCUCAACUAUCACAAUUUAUUGUUCCAAAGGAUCAUCUUAAACAUGAGUGAUAUGUCGAGCAUAUUUGUGAAUAAUUCACUGAAUGGAACCAAAAUAGGACAGAUAUUCCCAAAUUUGGAUGCCUCUAUGGCAUUCAAUUUUCUUUUCAAAGCUGAGGAGAACCAAAGAGUUCAUGAUUUACAAUCCUUGCAGCAGAUGACGAUGGAAACAAGUUUGCUUCUGGGCAAUCUUAUUGAUGUUUUAGAAGAAAUCAAGUUAGCUAAAAUGGAGUUACUAAAUCUUACUUCAGCUGCUUUUGUGUUGGAGUCCCAGACAUGUCAACUUGGCCUCCGUGCAUGCUUCAUGAGCUUCAAGAGCGGCAAGAAGUUUGCUUUCACCAUCGACAUGACAGACUUGAACCGCUCUGUCUACCCUUCUGAGCCAUCUGAGCUGCCGAUCAAGGUUUGCGAAGGGCAGACAACACUAGCACAGGCAAGCAUAGACGAGACCAUGACUUCUAUAAGGAACCUGCAACCUGGUCGCACGGUGAUACUACGGCUGUGCCGGAGGGUAUCUCGGCUGAUUCAUUCCUUGCCAGGUUGACCUGAUCACUGGAGUACAGCAUGUAGGAAAGUAGACAUUAUCCGGAUGUGUAGACAGUAGCGUCAUCAGCUUUCCGUAAGUAAGUGUGCGUUGUUAAUAGCUGUUCGGAUCCAUAAAUCAACCCUUCUGUUGACCUGCAAGUGUCAAGCACUGUAUGACUGUAAAUAUAGCUAGAAUCUGACAAACCUUCAUGAACAACGAGUGGGUUUGUUGCUGCAGGUGGAAUGGCACCUUUAACCAAGUGGUUUUGGUCACUGCAAAUCCUUGUAAUUGCCAUUGUAUUGAAGCAGCACUAAAGAGUUGAUAGCCUGUCUACAUUUAUUGUAAACAUGGUUUCCUUUGCGUAUC